CUAAGAAUAUUCCGCAAUGGAGGAAACUCUGACGGAGCGACGCCGCGUGGAUGAUGAAGGUCGGAAGAUUGUAAAAUCCUUUUAAGUAUGAUGAAUAACCUGAUCAGGAAAUGGAACAGGGAUGACCGUAAUACUUGAAUAAGCAACGGCUAAUUACGUGCCAGCAGCCGCGGUAACACGUAAGUUGCGAGCGUUGUUCGGAAUUAUUGGGCGUAAAGGGCAUGUAGGCGGUUUUGCAAGCUUGAUGUGAAAUGCCGGGGCUUAACUCCGGCACUGCGUUGAGAACUGCAUGACUAGAGUAACUGAGGGGCAGCCGGAAUUCCAGGUGUAGGGGUGAAAUCUGUAGAUAUCUGGAAGAACACCAAUGGCGAAGGCAGGCUACCAGCAGAUUACUGACGCUGAGGUGCGAAGGUGCGGGGAGCAAACAGGAUUAGAUACCCUGGUAGU
rnacentral:rRNA from 1 species